rnacentral:rRNA from 1 species
UACGUAGGGUGCGAGCGUUGUCCGGAAUUAUUGGGCGUAAAGAGCUUGUAGGCGGUUUGUCGCGUCUGCUGUGAAAAUCCGGGGCUCAACCCCGGACUUGCAGUGGGUACGGGCAGACUAGAGUGUGGUAGGGGAGACUGGAAUUCCUGGUGUAGCGGUGAAAUGCGCAGAUAUCAGGAGGAACACCGGUGGCGAAGGCGGUCUGCUGGGCCAAGACUGACGCUGAGGCGCGACAGCGUGGGGAGCAAACAGG